rnacentral:sRNA from 1 species
UGAUUUCUGUUCAUAGAUGGCUUCUAAUU